AAGGCAACGGGUUUUGGUCCCGUUACUCGGAGGUUCGAAUCCUUCCGUCCCAGA
rnacentral:tRNA from 3 species